rnacentral:piRNA from 1 species
UCUUAUCUGUAAACAGAGGGCCGAG